AUCCUGUUACGUAUACUGAAGGUAUACCGGAUGGUUGAUUUACUCAGGAUACAUUCAGUAUACGUACAGGAA
rnacentral:pre_miRNA from 1 species